AUGGCUGCUGCGACUCGUCCCGCUCUCACAGUGCUGCCUCCCUCCAGAGACGAGCUGCAGCAGGGUAAGGCUACAGUGCUGUGUGUGGCCAGUAAGGGAUUCCCCUCUGACUGGAAGCUGAGCUGGAAGGUGGACGGCAGCAGCAGGAGCUCUGGUGUCAAUCUGAGUCCCAGUCAGCUGCAGAAGGAUGGACUGUACAGCUGGAGCAGCAGCCUGAGCCUCACUGAGAGUGAGUGGAGCAGAGCAACAACCAUCAGCUGUGACGCCACGCACCCGUCCCACAAUGCAGUGACCAAGAGCCUCGACACACAGCAGUGUGAUGAAUGAAAUACACACACACACACACCGCUGUCAGUAUGCCGUUUCAUGCUGUUGGUAUAUUGCUCAUAUAUUCUUAUCUGUUGUAAUUCUACAACUACAAUGAUAUGAAAGUUUUGUUGCUCAUUUUUCUCUUG